AGCGAACGCUGGCGGCAGGCCUAACACAUGCAAGUCGAACGAACCCUUCGGGGUUAGUGGCGGACGGGUGAGUAACACGUGGGAACGUGCCUUUAGGUUCGGAAUAACUCAGGGAAACUUGUGCUAAUACCGAAUGUGCCCUUCGGGGGAAAGAUUUAUCGCCUUUAGAGCGGCCUGCGUCUGAUUAGCUAGUUGGUGAGGUAAUGGCUCACCAAGGCUACGAUCAGUAGCUGGUCUGAGAGGAUGACCAGCCACAUUGGGACUGAGACACGGCCCAAACUCCUACGGGAGGCAGCAGUGGGGAAUCUUGCGCAAUGGGCGAAAGCCUGACGCAGCCAUGCCGCGUGGAUGAUGAAGGUCUUAGGAUUGUAAAAUCCUUUCACCGGUGAAGAUAAUGACUGUAGCCGGAGAGGAAGCCCCGGCUAACUUCGUGCCAGCCGCCGCAGUAAAAC
rnacentral:rRNA from 1 species